ACCCUAACCCCUGGUGGCCAAAAUUUCUCUUAUUUUCUGUGUGUUUCCCCAGGGAAAAUCUCAGGCAUUUCUUCUCACCUCCAAUCAAAUGAAUCGAUAACAAACAAACCAACAACAACAAUGGCCGCCAAAUCACAGCAGUUCUCAUGGUCACGCGUCCUCCUCCACUAUAAGGCCCUGAAGAGACCCACCAAACACCCACUACACUAUUCCCGGAAAAUCUCCACUUUCCCACAGUUUCCCACCUCACAAACACCGAAUUUCUCAUUUCUAACCAAGAGCCAUUACUCCACUGCCUCAAACAGGGUGAUCCAGGAACUUCUGGCGGACGUGGAGAGAGAGAGGCAGAGAGAAAGAGAGCAGAAGAAAAGGACUGGCUUGGACACCAAAGACAUUGACGCUGAGGAUGAGGAGGACUACAUGGGGGUUGCUCCAUUGAUAGAGAAGCUUGAGAAGGAGAAGCAGAAGCUCAAGGACACUGGGGACUUGCACCAGUACGAAGAGCGUACGGACUCAGAUAGCGACGACGACGACGAGCGUUUUAGCCGUGAAGCCAUGGAGAAGAGGCGGGACGAGUUCGAGAGGAAGUUCAAGCGGCACGAGGAAUUGCUCAAGAACUUUACCGAGGCUGAUACACUUGAUGAUGCCUUCAAAUGGAUGAAUAAAAUAGACAAGUUUGAGCAAAAGCAUUUCCAACUUCGGCUCGAGUAUCGGGUCAUUGGUGAGUUGAUGAACCGUUUGAAAGUAGCAGAGGGAAAGGAUAAAUUCAUUCUUCAGCAGAAACUAAAUAGGGCUAUGAGGUUGGUGGAGUGGAAGGAAGCUUAUGAUCCUAAGAAUCCUGCCAAUUUCGGAGUUAUUCAACACGAACAAGUUGGGGCCUCUGCUGAACUUUUGGAGCAUGCUGGAUUUGAGAAGGCAAAGCAAAUGAUUCAAGGAGAUGAUGAUGAUGUGGAAGAGUUUGAUGACAUGAAAGAGAGGGAUGACAUACUGUUAGAGAAGCUUAAUGCCAUUGACAAAAAACUUGAAGAGAAGCUGGCUGAGUUGGAUCAUACAUUUGGAAAGAAGGGUAAGAUUUUAGAGGAAGAAAUCAGAGAUCUUGCUGAGGAGAGAAAUGAGUUGACAGAGAAGAAAAGAAGACCUCUUUACCGGAAAGGUUUUGAUGUGAAAUUGAUUGAUGUAAAUCGAACCUGUAAAGUUACAAAGGGUGGGCAAGUGGUCAAAUACACUGCUAUUUUAGCUUGUGGAAACUAUCAUGGUGUUGUUGGUUAUGCUAAAGCCAAAGGCCCGGCAAUUCCUAUCGCUCUUCAAAAGGCAUAUGAGAAAUGCUUUCAGAAUCUUCACUAUGUGGAACGUCACGAGGAGCAUACAAUUGCACAUGCAAUUCAAACAACAUAUAAAAAGACCAAGGUGUAUCUUUGGCCAGCACCAACCAGGACAGGGAUGAAAGCGGGGAAAACUGUCCAAACCAUUUUGAAUUUAGCUGGUUUUAAAAAUAUCAAGUCUAAGGUCGUUGGCUCAAGGAAUCCUCACAACACUGUUAAGGUUCUCUUCAAAGCUCUUAAUGCGAUUGAAACUCCAAAGGAUGUCCAAGAAAAGUUUGGCCGGACUGUUGUUGAGAAGUACUUGCUGUGAAAGGUUUGCUUUUUUAAGAUCCACUGCAAUGCUUCCAGUUGUGCACUUAUGUCUCCUUGAAUCUCAAAGAAGGCUUACAAUGGAAGAUGAAGAAAGCCUAUGACAGUUCCAGUUUCCCACAGGAAUGUUGAAUCUACCAACUCAUGGAAGACCUCUCCAAAUAUCAUGGACUCCAUCCUCAUUUGCAGUGCAUUGUUCAAUUCUAUUAGGUUAGUUGAUUCCUAAGAAACGGAAAAUUUCCAUGGACCAUAGCAUUCUCACAUGCAAUCAUAUAUUCUAUUAAAAAUGAAUGCGAGAAUCACAUGUUUUAAGAAACUUAUGUCAGUUUAAUAGAUUGGAUCGAAGAAAUUUCUUCCAACCCAAUUUGGAGAAAAACUGUCCAAGAAGGCACAGGUUUGAAGGCUUUUUUUUGGUAAAAUUUGUAUAAAAUAAGUGUAAGACUUUCUCCCUUUCUUGAUGGUAAAGGCUAGCGAAUAGCAAUAGUUGUAAAA